GGGGACAAAUAAACAGGACAGUGAGAAAAGCACCUCCAGGGCUGCUGAAGAGAGACUGCUGUGUGUGAGCAGCUGAGCAGGUCUAGUGGGCCCCGUUCCUCCCAUGCGGCUCCCAUCUCUUCCGUACACGGCCUUCAGCACACAAGCUGGACCUCACAGGCCUGCUCCACUGGGAACCCAGACUGUCUCUGGGUUACUCUGAGGGUCAGCUGGCAGGCAAUCCGAGGACAUGUGCAAAGUGCCUCUAAAAAGAAGGGUUUCCAGGGCCAAAUAAUCUGUUUAAUUAUAUCUACUUACUUAAAGAAUUGCAAGGGGACAUGCAACAGUGUAAAUGCACUUAAUACCAUCAAACUGAACACUUAAGUUGUUACAGCAGCCAGGUUUAUGUGAUGUUAAGGCGGUCAGUGGAGGGGCGGGCUAGACUGGGAGGGUCCCGGAGACUGGGGUUGGCCUGACCUGAGGUCAUCUGAUAGUCACCUCACAAACCAGCUGCCCUGGUUGCACAGCUCUCUUCACCAGCAAUCUUCUAGCAAUGUGGCUGAGGCUUGCCUAUGUGGAGCCAUGCCAGGCCCAGCGACAUGAGCGUCUGGUCCCAGGGUGGCUCCAGUUUUCAUUAUAAAUUAAUAAUUGCAUCCCUUUUCUCUUUUGGCCUCCCCUGGAGUACCCUGCCCAGGAGCAAACACGCUGGCACAGAGCUCCAGGGACCAGCUGUCGGCCACUUUCAGCUCUCAUCUCGGGGUCCUGUGAGAAGGCCGCAAGAGAGCCAGGUAAGCUUCCUGGGCCCUCGGGGCUGAGGUCAGGAUCUGGACCACCUCUAGGGAAACCAAAAAUCUGCUUUUUUCCAGCAAAAUGCAACCCACUUCCCAUGGAACAUCCCAUCUUAUGUCUGUGCCCUCGAAACUGCAGAGGAGGCAAAAAGUAUUUCCUGACUCUUCCCAGCAUCGAGUUACAACUGAUGCUGGAAAAACACAAUAAAUGGUAUUUUCCUCAGUUACCAUCUUGACACCUACGCCUGACAGACAGACUGGCCUGUACGAUCUAAAAAUCGCAGCCUGCUCCUCAGCUCUCCAGACUUUGCUGAGACAAAAGCAAAUUGCUCUUAGAGGUGCUGUCUCUGCCGGGCUGUGUGCCCGGUAUGGCUUUAGACGCGGGUCACACCAACGCCACCGUUGUUGUCACUUCUACACAUACAACUCAAAUAACCUUAGCUUAUCCCUGAACGCCUAGCUCAAAGCCAAGGGAGACAGAAUAUAGUACAGCCAGUGAAUGAGCAGAGAAACCACACCCCAAAAGGGGGAUGGGCUCACAGGGCGACCUCAAUGCCGGUCACGAAGACCGCACGAAGUCUCACACUAAUGUCAGGUCAGUGCCCCUGAGAAUCUUUCCAAGAGGCUUUGGACAGUCCCACCCUCAGACCUCUCCACACUGGGGAAGGAUCAGGCCUCCCCACUGCCAGUUCUCUCUCAGGGUUCCCCCGUGCUAGGGUCCGAGCCAGGGCGGAUCACCUUGAUUCCACAGAGUCCUGUGCAAGUGAAGGCUGGAAGAAAGAUGGAUCCCAGGUGCAUGUUCCAGUGUUAACCUGACUUUGUGAUUUGGCUGCGUGAGCUUUGCAGGUCACUUGUUUCAGAGAUCACACAGAACUGGUACACUAAGAGCUGGUAACACCGAGGGCAGCCACAGGAGAACGGAGAGUAAUGAAGAUUGCUGGGAGCUGCCAUCUCUGCCAGCUGAAGAGUUCCCCACACCUGGGUAGCUGCUGGCUCUGAGCCGAAAGGAGAGCAGCCAACACUGAAAGAGCUGAUAGCUGUAGGCGCGCAGAGCUCAGGGGUGGCAACACGAAUAAAGCUAUACUUUACCAAUUGUGCAUUUCCACGUUAAUUGAGCCAAAGCCCUCAGCCAACUGGGAACAUCCCGGAAGCCCAUAUACAGUACAGACCCUUCCCCUUAGAGAGCCCAGAAGAGGGCAGCCAAUAGUGACCGGCGUCAUCAGGCUCAAGGAUCAGCCUACCCCUGAUUUCCAUCUUACGAGUGGCUGAGGAUCUACGUGAGCUGCUGCCAGUCCCUCUGUGGGCUGCUUCCCAGCCCCGUGUCUGUUGGGCAUUUCCUUCCUCUUACAGGAAAGAAACUUGUCAUCCAGGCGCAGAGUCUAACCUGCUCCCUCAACUCUGUUUCAGCUGCACAGUGAUUCCGUCCCUGCCCCCAUGGAAGACACACAUAACCAGUACAGACACGUGAGUGCCGACGCCCAAACAGAGGCCAGGACUCUUCUGGAUGCUGCUCCAUCCGACCAGGCCCGGCAGCACUCAGCACUGCGACGACGACAGCGCCAAAGUGCGGUCCGGAAGGAAGGGCGCUGUCAGCGAGCACAGCACCCCGCAAAUGCACCUUUCCCAACCUUUCUGCCCCUCCCCACCUGGCCGGCCACUUCACAUCCCAAACCAGAGCUCCAGAAACAGGCUUCCUAACCCUACUUGUCCCACCCCACAGGCAAUACAAGUCACACCUCGGCUCCAGAACUCUGGAUGGUUCCCUGCUGAGCACAGGAGAUGGACCUGGCUUUCACAGGCCCAAACCCUGGCCUGCUCUAAUCACAGGGAAACAAGGUAAACUCCUGUAGGUACCUUUCUACGUAAAAGGUUAAGGCUGGCCUCUCCUCCGAAAAGACAGGUAACAAUGACUCGCACCGACGGAAUGACUCGCACCGACGGAGCCUUUCUCCUGGAGGACUCCAAUGACUGAAAGGCCCCGAAAGGAACAACCCGACCAUGGGAUCCCUUAUCUGCCUGGCAGCCCAGCCCCGAAUGACCCUAACCUGCACAGGGUGCUACAAAAGCAGGACUCAAAUGCAAGUAUCCCAGAGCCACAUGCUUGCUAAUAGGUUUUCCUUUACUCUUAAUUGUUUUCACAUUUGUUAGACUUACUUUACCAAGUGGGGAUAAUCUGUUGUGUCUCCCAAAAUACAUCACAGCCGUGGGCAUGAAAACCGAUGUUUCUCGAGUCACCAAUCUACAGAGGACAAAGGUUGCUACCGUGCAAAACAAGCAAACAGCCCCUCCCCAGGGGCUCCGCGCAGGCCAGUAAAUCCCAGGUACCUUGCACAGCAGCAAAGGGGAACUGUGAAGCAGGAAGUUCUGAAAGCAACCAUCCAUUAAAUCACCAGUUUAAAAGUCCCUUAUCUGAAUGUUUCCUGUGAACUAAAUCAUACAACAUGUCCAGAAAAGGCAAGUCAACUGAGAAGGGAAGUGGAAUAGUGGCUGUGCGAUGCGGGGGCCGCUAGAGGGUGGGGACAGCAAAGGACACAAGGAUCUUUGGGGGAUGAUGGAAAUGUUCUAAAAUUAGACUGUGAUAAUUGCUGCACAAUUCUGUAACAUGUACUAAAAAUCCUUGGAUCACA